UACGUAGGGUGCGAGCGUUGUCCGGAAUUAUUGGGCGUAAAGAGCUUGUAGGCGGUUUGUCGCGUCUGCUGUGAAAAUCCGGGGCUCAACCCCGGACUUGCAGUGGGUACGGGCAGACUAGAGUGUGGUAGGGGAGACUGGAAUUCCUGGUGUAGCGGUGAAAUGCGCAGAUAUCAGGAGGAACACCGAAGGCGAAGGCAGGUCUCUGGGCCACUACUGACGCUGAGAAGCGAAAGCAUGGGGAGCGAACAGGAUUAGAUACCU
rnacentral:rRNA from 1 species